rnacentral:rRNA from 1 species
AUGAACUUUACAUUCUACAAAAAUCACCGCUACCUUGCAACCAUAAUUUACCUUCAGAGCGCAGGAGGUGCUGUCGUCACCGUUCCUGCCGUCCUCCAGCUGGGCUGUCGAGGACCACGUGCAGUUCUCCCUAAGUGCACCGUCGAGGGCACCGAAGGUCUAUCACAAAUCAAUCAGGUGAACCUUUACAUCGAUAUGGGGUAUUUUGUGCUUUGUAUGACUAAUACUGCACUUUUGGCACUCGGUGGUGGGUCAGAAUUUUUUGAUCUGCAAUUUCAUCUACCAACCAAUCUUCAUCUGAUACAUACUAGAAACAGUUUUUUGGACAGGAAGAAAUUGAUAUUCCGGAGUUUAACUAAUCAUUUGAUAAUUCUUUUGGGAAAUACAUGUGAUCUGGAGCAUGAAAAUCAUUCUCAUAUAUAG